rnacentral:rRNA from 1 species
GACAGAGGUGGCAAGCGUUGUUCGGAGUUACUGGGCGUAAAGAGUCUGUAGGUGGUCUGUCUAGUCUUUGGUGAGAGGCCGUGGCUUAACCAUGGGAUGCCAAAGAGACUGGCAGACUGGAGGCUGGGAGAGGGAAGCGGAAUUUCUGGUGUAGCGGUGAAAUGCGUAGAUAUCAGGAGGAAGGCCGGUGGCGAAGGCGGCUUCCUGGAACAGGCCUGACACUGAGAGACGAAAGCGUGGGGAGCAAACAGG